rnacentral:misc_RNA from 1 species
UCUCCGUUGGUGAACCAGCGGAGGGAUCACUACCGAGUGCAAACUCAUAACCCUUUGUGAACCUAUAUCUGUUGCUUCGGCGGCUCGCUCUCGGGCGAGCCCGCCGGUAAUAUCAGUAUCUCUGUUUGAACCCGACGAUACUUCUGAGUGUUCUUAGCGAACAGUUAAAACUUUUAACAACGGAUCUCUUGGCUCUA